GUGGCCAAGUUUUUAAGGGCGCACGGUGGAUGCCUUGGCACCAGGAACCGAUGAAGGACGUGGGAGGCCGCGAUAGGCCCCGGGGAGCUGUCAACCGAGCUUUGAUCCGGGGGUGUCCGAAUGGGGAAACCCGGCAGUCGUCAUGGGCUGUCACCCGCAUCUGAACACAUAGGGUGCGUGGAGGGAACGCGGGGAAGUGAAACAUCUCAGUACCCGCAGGAAGAGAAAACAACCGUGAUUCCGGGAGUAGUGGCGAGCGAAACCGGAUGAGGCCAAACCGUUGUGGUGUGAGACCCGGCAGGGGUUGCCACGACGGGGUUGUGGGAAAGUUCUUCAGUCGUCUGCCGGCGGCUGGGCGAGUCAGAAACCGUAUGGGUAGUCGAAGGACAUGCGAAAGGUCCGGCGUAGAGGGUAAGACCCCCGUAGACGAAAUCUGUACGGCUCGCUUGAGCUUCUCCCAAGUAGCACGGGGCCCGAGAAAUCCCGUGUGAAUCUGGCGGGACCACCCGCUAAGCCUAAAUAUUCCCUGGUGACCGAUAGCGGAUAGUACCGUGAGGGAAUGGUGAAAAGUACCGCGGGAGCGGAGUGAAAUAGUACCUGAAACCGUGUGCCUACAAGCCGUGGGGGCAGCCUUCGGGCUGUGACUGCGUGCCUUUUGAAGAAUGAGCCUGCGAGUUUGCGGUGUGUAGCGAGGUUAACCCGUGUGGGGUAGCCGUAGCGAAAGCGAGUCCGAAUAGGGCGAUCGAGUUGCAUGCCCAAGACCCGAAGCGGAGUGAUCUAGCCAUGGGCAGGUUGAAGCGCGGGUAAGACCGUGUGGAGGACCGAACCCACCAGGGUUGAAAACCUGGGGGAUGACCUGUGGUUAGGGGUGAAAGGCCAAUCAAACUCCGUGAUAGCUGGUUCUCCCCGAAAUGCAUUUAGGUGCAGCGUCGCGUGUUUCUUGCCGGAGGUAGAGCACUGGAUAGGCGAUGGGCCUUACCGGGUUACUGACCUUAGCCAAACUCCGAAUGCCGGUAAGUGAGAGCGCGGCAGUGAGACUGUGGGGGAUAAGCUCCAUGGUCGAGAGGGAAACAGCCCAGAACACCGACUAAGGUCCCUAAGCGUGUGCUAAGUGGGAAAGGAUGUGGAGUCGCAGAGACAACCAGGAGGUUGGCUUAGAAGCAGCCACCCUUGAAAGAGUGCGUAAUAGCUCACUGGUCAAGUGAUUCCGCGCCGACAAUGUAGCGGGGCUCAAGCACACCACCGAAGUCGUGUCAUUGCAGCAAUACCCCCAACGGGGGCUGUGAUGGGUAGGGGAGCGUCGUGUGCCGGGUGAAGCAGCCGAGGAAUCGAGUUGUGGACGGUUCACGAGUGAGAAUGCAGGCAUGAGUAGCGAUACAAGAGUGGGAAACUCUUGCGCCGAUUGACCAAGGGUUUCCUGGGUCAAGCUGAUCUGCCCAGGGUAAGUCGGGACCUAAGGCGAGGCCGACAGGCGUAGUCGAUGGACAACGGGUUGAUAUUCCGUACCCGCUUUGAAGCGCCAACGUCGAACCUCUUGAUGCUAAGCCCGUGAAGCCGGCCCGGAGUCUUCGGACAAAGGACGUGGUGGAGCCGGUGACCCAACGGGUAGUAGGUGAGCGAUGGGUGACGCAGGAAGGUAAGUCCAGCCCGGGCGGUGGUAGUCCGGGGUAAGGGUGUAGGACGUUGCGUAGGCAAAUCCGCGCAACACGUGUCUGAGACCUGAUGCCCGAGCCGAUUGUGGUGAAGUGGAUGAUCCUAUGCUGUCG
rnacentral:rRNA from 1 species